UUUGAAUCUGACUAUAAAAUAACCUUUGACAAUUAUGAAGAAUGAAAAGAUGAUAACUAUCUAUCUAUUUUUCUCAGGUUUUAAAAUAUCAACAUCUGGAAUACUUUCAGACUGAGAAGAGAUAGUAUCUUGUAUAAACUUCCGUUUGUUAGACAGGAAAAGAAUUAAACUUCAGUAAACUAAUGUAGUUUGGCGUAUUUUCACACGCUUUUGUCAAGUACUUGCUGCAUGUGACUCUUAAGACCUGGCGCUUAUUUGUUAAAACAUUCUUGUUCAUAUUGUAUAAAUUAUAUAUUUACAUGAAAUGGAAUUCUAUAGAGUAUAUAGCCUGUAGGAAUGAGAACUUUUAUAAUUACAUGCCGAAAUCUUAAUGAAUUUUAUCUUUAUUACAUUGUAAUCACAAUUUUGAUGAGUAAACUAAAUAUAGAUCGUGGAAUUAGAGGAGCAAUGUAUUACCCGUACGGUAUAUGUCAAAAUUCGAAAAAAUCCUCGAAUGUUGUAAAAUACUGGAUUUGAAAAAAUUAAUUUCUGGAAAUUUUUAUUUCUUAAUUGUAUAUACAGUAACAGUGCAUGACUAACUUUUCUAGUAAUACUGAUGCACAGUAUGAAGACAAAAUAGAAUAUGUUUUAUAUCCCAGCUUAUUUAUGUAAUAUUCCACUUAUUAUACUAUUUCAUUUUGUUAAUUUUUAUCGUAUGUAUAAUUUAAUUCCUUAUGAUCACCGCUAAAAUUAGCUUAGCGAUAUUCAGCAGUGCAUGCAUUCCAUGCAUUUGGCACUGUUUAUUCGGAUUGGUUUAUUUGACAUUUGCACAG